CUACUCUGGUUUCCUUCAAAACGCAUAAUCUUUCGCGCCUUUUACUAAAGAAUUUCCGUGGAGGGAACAACUCAAUGAGUCCUUACUCAAUUUUUUUGCUAUAGCCCACUCGUGGUCAAAC
rnacentral:snRNA from 1 species